CCCCGGGCGGGGCGGGGGCACGGGGGGAACGCGAAGAACCUUACCAGGUCUUGACAUCUUUUGCCAAUUUUAGAGAUAAGGCGUUCCCUUCGGGGACAAAGUGACAGGUGGUGCAUGGUUGUCGUCAGCUCGUGUCGUGAGAUGUUGGGUUAAGUCCCGCAACGAGCGCAACCCUUAUUAUUAGUUGCCAUCAUUCAGUUGGGCACUCUGGUGAGACUGCCGGUGACAAACCGGAGGAAGGUGGGGAUGACGUCAAAUCAUCAUGCCCCUUAUGACCUGGGCUACACACGUGCUACAAUGGGCAGUACAACGAGUUGCGAAGUCGCGAGGCUAAGCUAAUCUCUUAAAGCCGUUCUCAGUUCGGAUUGUAGGCUGCAACUCGCCUGACAUGAA
rnacentral:rRNA from 2 species